AAAUUUUCCAAAGUACUUACAUCAAUUACACCUUUCCCAGUAGUGUGGAGGUUUCUCCUUUUUCCACAUCCUUACAGCAGUGAGGACAAGCAGAGGUUAUUUGUGUCAGCAUGUUGGUUUUGAUGAGUUUUACCUGGCUUAUUCACUGCAACCUAUUUUAUCCCCAAGGUCUUCAUGACCUGUAUCUUUUGCAACCUCCUAUCUCAUCCUGUGACUUAGAAUGCUGUAACCAUCUGGGAAUGCAGCACAGUAGGUCUCAGCUUCAUUUUACCCAGGCCCUAUUCAAGAUGGAGUUGCUCUGGUUCAAAUGCAUCUGACAUUUUCCCCAUCCCUUUUAUAAGAGAA
rnacentral:lncRNA from 1 species